rnacentral:hammerhead_ribozyme from 1 species
GUAUUACCGAGGAGUCCCAAACUAGGACGAAACAGCUGUUCAGUAC